UACGGAGGGUGCAAGCGUUAAUCGGAAUUACUGGGCGUAAAGCGUGCGCAGGCGGUUUGUUAAGUCUGUUGUGAAAUCCCCGAGCUCAACUUGGGAAUUGCAAUGGAUACUGGCAGGCUGGAGUAUGGUAGAGGAAGGUGGAAUUCCCGGUGUAGCAGUGAAAUGCGUAGAGAUCGGGAGGAACACCCGUGGCGAAGGCGGCCUGCUGGGCCGAUCCUGACGCUGAGGCGCGAAGGCGUGGGGAGCGAACGGG
rnacentral:rRNA from 1 species